rnacentral:rRNA from 1 species
UGGGGAAUAUUGCGCAAUGGGGGCAACCCUGACGCAGCAACGCCGCGUGAAGGAAGAAGGUCUUCGGAUUGUAAACUUUUGUCUUGUGGGACGAAACGAAUGACGGUACCACAGGAGGAAGCCACGGCUAACUACGUGCCAGCAGCCGCGGUAGUACGUAGGUGGCAAGCGUUGUCCGGAAUUACUGGGUGUAAAGGGUGCGUAGGCGGGAUGCAAGUCAGAUGUGAAAUCUAUCGGCUUAACUGGUAAACUGCAUUUGAAACUGCAUUUCUUGAGUGGUGGAGAGGUAAGCGGAAUUCCUAGUGUAGCGGUGAAAUGCGUAGAUAUUAGGAGGAACACCAGUGGCGAAGGCGGCUUACUGGACACUAACUGACGCUGAGGCACGAAAGCAUGGGGAGCAAACAGGAUUAGAUACCCUGGUAGU